ACAAUGCAAUGCGAGCUGUUUUUGUGGAGGGGUGUAUUUGCAAUUGUUGCUAACUCUAUAUAACCCACCCCAGCCCCCUUUGAGUGCUUUUUUGAGCCCUAACCAGUGGAGAAUCAGGGUAAGGCUUCCUCUACUUGUUUGAUCUCUAUUUUUGAUGGAUUUUUGCAUGUUUUGAUCUCCUCCUGUUUGUUUUUCCUUGCUUCUUGUUGGGUUCCACCAUGGGAGAAGCUUGGAUUUCGGGAUUGGAGCUUGAUAGAGGAUCAACCUUCAACCCUAGGU
rnacentral:lncRNA from 1 species